AUAACGGUCCUAAGGUAGCGAAAUUCCUUGUCAGGUAAGUUCUGACCCGCACGAAAGGCGUAACGAUUUGGGCGCUGUCUCAGCUGUAGACUCGGUGAAGUCUUAGUACCUGUGAAGAUGCAGGUUACCCGCGACUAGACGGAAAGACCCCAUGGAGCUUUACUGUAGCUUGAUAUUGGACUUUGAUGCAAGAUGUACAGGAUAGGUAGGAGACUGAGAGACAUGCACGCCAGUGUGUGAGGAGUCAAUGUUGGGAUACUACUCUUCUUGUAUUGGAGUUCUAACCGGAUGCCAUGGAACUGGCAACGGGACAGUGUCAGGUGGGCAGUUUGACUGGGGCGGUCGCCUCCCAAAGAGUAACGGAGGCGCCCAAAGAUACCCUCAGCUUGGAUGGAAAUCAAGCGCAGAGUGCAAAGGCAUAAGGGUGUUUGACUGCGAGACCUACAAGUCGAGCAGGGACGAAAGUCGGGCUUAGUGAUCCGGCGGUGCUGAAUGGAAAGGCCGUCGCUCAACGGAUAAAAGCUACCCUGGGGAUAACAGGCUGAUCUCCCCCAAGAGUUCACAUCGACGGGGAGGUUUGGCACCUCGAUGUCGGCUCAUCGCAUCCUGGAGCUGAAGUCGGUUCCAAGGGUUGGGCUGUUCGCCCAUUAAAGCGGUACGCGAGCUGGGUUCAGAACGUCGUGAGACAGUUCGGUCCCUAUCUGUCGUGGGCGUAGGAAGUUUGAGAAGAUCUGUCCUCAGUACGAGAGGACCGGGAUGGACAUAUCAAUGGUGCACCAGUUGUCACGCCAGUGGCACAGCUGGGUAGCUAAAUAUGGAAGGGAUAAACGCUGAAGGCAUCUAAGUGUGAAACCCACUUCAAGAUGAGACUUCCCAUUACGCAAGUAAGUAAGACCCCUUAAAGACGAUAAGGUUGAUAGGUCAGGAGUGUAAGCAUGGCGACAUGUUCAGCGGACUGAUACUAAUAGGUCGAGGACUUAACCU
rnacentral:rRNA from 1 species